rnacentral:rRNA from 1 species
CCUACGGGUGGCUGCAGUGGGGAAUUUUGGACAAUGGGCGAAAGCCUGAUCCAGCCAUGCCGCGUGAGUGAAGAAGGCCUUCGGGUUGUAAAGCUCUUUCGCAAGGGAAGAAAACUUACUCAAUAACACUGGGUGAGGCUGACGGUACCUUGAUAAGAAGCACCGGCUAACUACGUGCCAGCAGCCGCGGUAAUACGUAGGGUGCGAGCGUUCAUCGGAAUUACUGGGCGUGAUUUGUAAGCCGGAGGUGAAAUCCCCGGGCUCAACCUGGGAACUGCGUUUGGAACUGCAAGGCUAGAGUGUGUCAGAGGGAGGUAGAAUUCCACGUGUAGCAGUGAAAUGCGUAGAGAUGUGGAGGAAUACCGAUGGCGAAGGCAGCCUCCUGGGAUAACACUGACGCUCAUGCUCGAAAGCGUGGGGAGCAAACAGGAUUAGAUACCCGUGUAGUC